rnacentral:rRNA from 1 species
UACGUAGGUGGCAAGCGUUGUCCGGAUUUACUGGGCGUAAAGAGCGCGCAGGCGGUCAGAUAAGUCGAAUGUGAAAGCCCCCGGCUCAACUGGGGAGGGUCAUUCGAUACUGUUCGACUCGAAGGCAGGAGAGGGAAGUGGAAUUCCCGGUGUAGUGGUGAAAUGCGUAGAUAUCGGGAGGAACACCAGUGGCGAAGGCGACUUCCUGGCCUGUUCUUGACGCUGAGGCGCGAAGGCGUGGGGAGCGAACGGG